GGGCCCGCACAAGCAGUGGAGUAUGUGGUUUAAUUCGAAGCAACGCGAAGAACCUUACCAGGUCUUGACAUCCAACGAAUCCUGUGGAGACACGGGAGUGCCCUUCGGGGAACGUUGAGACAGGUGGUGCAUGGUUGUCGUCAGCUCGUGUCGUGAGAUGUUGGGUUAAGUCCCGCAACGAGCGCAACCCUUGUCAAUAGUUGCUACGCAAGAGCACUCUAUUGAGACCGCCGUUGACAAAACGGAGGAAGGUGGGGAUGACGUCAAAUCAUCAUGCCCCUUAUGACCUGGGCUACACACGUACUACAAUGGCCAAGAACAACGGGAAGCCAAACCGCGAGGUUGAGCGAAUCCCGAAAAAUGGUCUCAGUUCAGAUUACAGGCUGCAACCCGCCUGUAUGAAGAUGGAAUUGCUAGUAAUCGCGGAUCAGCAUGCCGCGGUGAAUACGUUCCCGGGCCUUGUACACACCGCCCGUCACACCAUGAGAGCCGGAGACACCCGAAGUCGUUUGCGUAACCGCAAGGAGCGCGGCGCCGAAGGCGGAGUCGGUAAUUGGGGUGAAGUCGUAACAAGGUAGCCGUAUCGGAAGGUGCGGCU
rnacentral:rRNA from 1 species